UUGUUUACAUGAAGUGUUUUAAAAUAAUAUUAUCUUAAAUCUAGCAUGUGAUCGCUGACUGACUAGGUAUAUAAGUUAUAACUCAGUUUUAAAACUACUCGUCAAAAUAUUAUUUAUUGUAGUUUCAGGUUUGAAAAUUGUAGUUUCAAGCUAUGACUGAAUAACACCUGUAUUCUACACUCCUAGCCAUCGCCAAAACUUCAGCUAUUUCAACUGUAUGUUGCUAGAAUGUAAUUCAAUUAGUAAUUAAGUUGAUUUUUUCAUGAUUCAUUAGGGCAGGUAAAAAUAUCACCCAAUUCACUAAAAAUCUACUAAUAUUUCACCAUGACACAGAGAUCUCAUGUACAGUAAUCGAAAAUACGAGGUAUAAAAUAGCUAAAUGACAUAGCUAAUUUCAAGUAUGUUGUCCAUUAAAUCGGAUGUGGCCAAUUUAAUAGACGUACUUCAAGGGUUCCAAAUAAUCAUCGAUUUAUCCUUUCAAUUUAUU